AAUCAAAUCAAAUGUUCAUUGGAUUCAUCACUAUACAGUGUACAUCCACGACUAAACUACUACCACAACUUGGUUUACUAUUUAUAAAAUAUAAUAAUGUAGGGUUACCUGGAACUUGAAAUAGGCCACACGGCCUGAAUCUACACUUCCCUCGCUAAACACCUUCGUUUCCUCAUAAAUAGGCCUUGAUCCCAUCUACGCAGUGUAGGGAGACUGUUUUGCUGUUAGAUCACGUCCAAAUAUGCAAAGUGCGCGAGAUUGGUGAAAUGCUUACAACAGGGAUAGGUUGAUUGGCAACACUAAAUGGUCCCUAGUGUGUAAAUGUGAGUGUGAAUGUUGUCUGCCUAUCUGUUUUGGCCCUGUGAUGACGUUGCGACUUGUCCAAGGUGUACCCCACCUUCCGCCCGAUUGUAGCUGAGAUAGGCACUAGCGCCCCCGCGACCCUAAAGGGAAUAAGCGGUAGAAAAUGGAUGGAUGGAUAUAUAGUGUAUCAACCUGUUGUUAACGCAGCGUCCCAGCAUAGUACAAUGCAGUAUUUGUACAACAGCAGCCCCUAGUGGCCGUUCUGGUGAACUCCGCAGCUAGCUAGCUACAAUUUAGCUUCCUUGUCCACAAUCGAGAUUUAGCAUUUUAACCCAAACACGAGUGCGAAACAUGCAAAGUGUAACACUCAAACGGACCUGCGGCCACUGAAGCAUAACUCACGCACCACAGGGGGACGUUCGUCCACGCUGCAGGGCUUCUCCUCGAGGGAAACAUGUCGGGGGUUAAAAGGAAAAUAGAGGACGGCGAUCCUGACUAUGAGGAUGUUGCAUUAAUCCAAAAUAGUAAGCGAAACAAAGCGGCUGAAUUAAGUGCCCGAGAUGCAGCAGUGCAGAAGAUAGAAGCCAUCAUCACCAAGCAGUUCUCCUUGGAGAUGAAGAACAAAGAACAUGAGAUAGAUAUUAUCAGCCAGGUAAAGCAGUGUUUUUCAACCACUGUGCCGUGGCACACACUAGUGCCGUGACAUACAGUCUGGUGUGCCGUGGGAGAUGAUCUAAUUUCACCUAUAUGGGUUAAAAAUAUUUUUUGCAUACCAGUAAUUAUAGUUUGUAAAUGAUGUGUCGGUGCUGUCUAGAGCUGGGCAGAGUAACCGUGUAAUACUCUUCCAUAUCAAGAGGUGGCAGCUGGUAGCUAAUUGCUUUGUAGAUGUCGGAAACAGCGGGAGGCAGCAUGCAGGUAAAAAUAUGCUUAAACCAAAAAUAAACAAAAGAUGAGUGCCCCUAAGAAAACUAAAACUGAACUGGCUACAAAGUAAACAAAAAGAGAAUGCUGGACGACAGCAAAGACUUACUGUGGAGCAAAGACAAUGUUCAUCCGAACAUGACAUGACAAUCAACAAUGUACCCACAAAGAAGGAUAAAAACAACUUAAAUAGUCUUGAUUGCUAAAAGAAAGUAGUUGCGGGGAAUAGCGCUCAAAGGAAGACAUUAAACUGCUACAGGAAAAUACCAAAAAAAGAGGAAAAGCCACCAAAAUAAGAGCACAAGAUAAAAUACCAAAAAAAGAGAAAGAGCCACAAAAAUAGGACCGCACGACAAGAAGUAAAACACUACACACAGGAAACAGCAAAAAAGUGAAAAUAAGUCAGGGUGUGAUGCGACAGGUGGUGACAGCACACCUACUUUGAGACAAGACUUAUAGUGAUGCAUGCUUGGUUAUGCUUUAAAGUCAUAUCCAACAAUUGCGACAACGACUUUUUACUGUCAACUGAGUUUCGUUUUUUUAAUGAUUUCUGUUGGUGGUGUGCCUCCGCAUUUUUUUCAACACAAAAUGUGCCUCGGCCCAAAAAAAAUUGAAAAACACUGACAAAAACCAUAUACCGUAUUUCCUUGAAUUGCCUCCGGGGCGCUAAUUAAUUUAAAACCUCUUCUCACUCCUGCGCUUACCAAAGGCGUGCGGUAAAAGUAAGCAUGCGCUAAUUAUUUUAAAACCUUUUCUCACUCCGGCACUUACCAAAGGCAUGCAGUAAAAAUGCGAGUGUGAUGUGAGCUUGGACAUUAAAUCCUACUGAAUAGCUCUUAAUCUUCUUCCCUUUAUGCGAUUUCAAAUUACCGGUAUUGAAAUCAGCCUCCUCCAUUUUGAAAAUGAUAACAGGGGAAGUGUCACUUGUGACGUCACAAGUUUGACCAGGCGGUAAUACUAAGCAUGCGCUAAUUAUUUUGCGAAGAGAGUUUGACCCGGCAGUAAUUCAAGGCAGGCGUAUGCUAUAAGCCUUGCGGCAAUUCAAGGAAAUACGGUUGUCCAUCUUGUUGCAUUUGGGAAAUGUUCAUAGAAAUCUUAUUAAAGGGGAACUGGACUUUUUUAUUUGGAAUUCGUCCAUCGUUCACAAUCUUGAGAGACAAGGAGACGAAAGUAUUUUUCUUUACUCAUUCGUCUAGUGCAGUGUUUCUCAAAUGGGAGUACACGUACCCCUGGGGGUACUUGAAGGUAUGCCGAGGGGUACGUGAGAUUUUAAGAAAAUAUU